rnacentral:rRNA from 1 species
AGAGUUUGAUCAUGGCUCAGGACGAACGCUGGCGGCGUGCUUAACACAUGCAAGUCGAACGGAAAGGCCCUUCGGGGUACUCGAGUGGCGAACGGGUGAGUAACACGUGGGUGAUCUGCCCUGCACUUUGGGAUAAGCCUGGGAAACUGGGUCUAAUACCGAAUAGGACCACGCGCUUCAUGGUGUGUGGUGGAAAGCUUUUGCGGUGUGGGAUGGGCCCGCGGCCUAUCAGCUUGUUGGUGGGGUAAUGGCCUACCAAGGCGACGACGGGUAGCCGGCCUGAGAGGGUGACCGGCCACACUGGGACUGAGAUACGGCCCAGACUCCUACGGGAGGCAGCAGUGGGGAAUAUUGCACAAUGGGCGCAAGCCUGAUGCAGCGACGCCGCGUGAGGGAUGACGGCCUUCGGGUUGUAAACCUCUUUCACCAGGGACGAAGCGCAAGUGACGGUACCUGGAGAAGAAGCACCGGCCAACUACGUGCCAGCAGCCGCGGUAAUACGUAGGGUGCUAGCGUUGUUCGGAAUUACUGGGCGUAAAGAGCUCGUAGGUGGUUUGUCGCGUUGUUCGUGAAAACUCACAGCUUAACUGUGGGCGUGCGGGCGAUACGGGCAGACUAGAGUACUGCAGGGGAGACUGGAAUUCCUGGUGUAGCGGUGGAAUGCGCAGAUAUCAGGAGGAACACCGGUGGCGAAGGCGGGUCUCUGGGCAGUAACUGACGCUGAGGAGCGAAAGCGUGGGGAGCGAACAGGAUUAGAUACCCCGGUAGUCCAA